rnacentral:tRNA from 1 species
GGCCCGUUGUCUAGGGGCAUGAUUCUUGCUUUGGGUGCGAGAGAUCCCGGGUUCAAAUCCCGGACGGGCCC